GGUUAAGCGACUAAGCGUACACGGUGGAUGCCCUGGCAGUCAGAGGCGAUGAAGGACGUGCUAAUCUGCGAUAAGCGUCGGUAAGGUGAUAUGAACCGUUAUAACCGGCGAUUUCCGAAUGGGGAAACCCAGUGUGUUUCGACACACUAUCAUUAACUGAAUCCAUAGGUUAAUGAGGCGAACCGGGGGAACUGAAACAUCUAAGUACCCCGAGGAAAAGAAAUCAACCGAGAUUCCCCCAGUAGCGGCGAGCGAACGGGGAGCAGCCCAGAGCCUGAAUCAGUAUGUGUGUUAGUGGAAGCGUCUGGAAAGGCGCGCGAUACAGGGUGACAGCCCCGUACACAAAAAUGCACAUGCUGUGAGCUCGAUGAGUAGGGCGGGACACGUGGUAUCCUGUCUGAAUAUGGGGGGACCAUCCUCCAAGGCUAAAUACUCCUGACUGACCGAUAGUGAACCAGUACCGUGAGGGAAAGGCGAAAAGAACCCCGGCGAGGGGAGUGAAAAAGAACCUGAAACCGUGUACGUACAAGCAGUGGGAGCUCGCUUAGGCGUGUGACUGCGUACCUUUUGUAUAAUGGGUCAGCGACUUAUAUUCUGUAGCAAGGUUAACCGAAUAGGGGAGCCGAAGGGAAACCGAGUCUUAACUGGGCGUUAAGUUGCAGGGUAUAGACCCGAAACCCGGUGAUCUAGCCAUGGGCAGGUUGAAGGUUGGGUAACACUAACUGGAGGACCGAACCGACUAAUGUUGAAAAAUUAGCGGAUGACUUGUGGCUGGGGGUGAAAGGCCAAUCAAACCGGGAGAUAGCUGGUUCUCCCCGAAAGCUAUUUAGGUAGCGCCUCGUGAAUUCAUCUCCGGGGGUAGAGCACUGUUUCGGCAAGGGGGUCAUCCCGACUUACCAACCCGAUGCAAACUGCGAAUACCGGAGAAUGUUAUCACGGGAGACACACGGCGGGUGCUAACGUCCGUCGUGAAGAGGGAAACAACCCAGACCGCCAGCUAAGGUCCCAAAGUCAUGGUUAAGUGGGAAACGAUGUGGGAAGGCCCAGACAGCCAGGAUGUUGGCUUAGAAGCAGCCAUCAUUUAAAGAAAGCGUAAUAGCUCACUGGUCGAGUCGGCCUGCGCGGAAGAUGUAACGGGGCUAAACCAUGCACCGAAGCUGCGGCAGCGACGCUUAUGCGUUGUUGGGUAGGGGAGCGUUCUGUAAGCCUGCGAAGGUGUGCUGUGAGGCAUGCUGGAGGUAUCAGAAGUGCGAAUGCUGACAUAAGUAACGAUAAAGCGGGUGAAAAGCCCGCUCGCCGGAAGACCAAGGGUUCCUGUCCAACGUUAAUCGGGGCAGGGUGAGUCGACCCCUAAGGCGAGGCCGAAAGGCGUAGUCGAUGGGAAACAGGUUAAUAUUCCUGUACUUGGUGUUACUGCGAAGGGGGGACGGAGAAGGCUAUGUUGGCCGGGCGACGGUUGUCCCGGUUUAAGCGUGUAGGCUGGUUUUCCAGGCAAAUCCGGAAAAUCAAGGCUGAGGCGUGAUGACGAGGCACUACGGUGCUGAAGCAACAAAUGCCCUGCUUCCAGGAAAAGCCUCUAAGCAUCAGGUAACAUCAAAUCGUACCCCAAACCGACACAGGUGGUCAGGUAGAGAAUACCAAGGCGCUUGAGAGAACUCGGGUGAAGGAACUAGGCAAAAUGGUGCCGUAACUUCGGGAGAAGGCACGCUGAUAUGUAGGUGAAGUCCCUCGCGGAUGGAGCUGAAAUCAGUCGAAGAUACCAGCUGGCUGCAACUGUUUAUUAAAAACACAGCACUGUGCAAACACGAAAGUGGACGUAUACGGUGUGACGCCUGCCCGGUGCCGGAAGGUUAAUUGAUGGGGU
rnacentral:rRNA from 1 species